rnacentral:rRNA from 1 species
AUUGAACGCUGGCGGCAUGCCUUACACAUGCAAGUCGAACGGCAGCACGGGAGCAAUCCUGGUGGCGAGUGGCGAACGGGUGAGUAAUAUAUCGGAACGUGCCCAGUCGUGGGGAUAACGUAGCGAAAGCUACGCUAAUACCGCAUACGAUCUAUGGAUGAAAGCGGGGGAUCGCAAGACCUCGCGCGAUUGGAGCGGCCGAUAUCAGAUUAGGUAGUUGGUGAGGUAAAGGCUCACCAAGCCGACGAUCUGUAGCUGGUCUGAGAGGACGACCAGCCACACUGGGACUGAGACACGGCCCAGACUCCUACGGGAGGCAGCAGUGGGGAAUUUUGGGACAAUGGGCGCAAGCCUGAUCCAGCAAUGCCGCGUGCAGGAUGAAGGCCUCGGUUGUAACGUAG